CAACAAAAAAUCUUGAAACCUUUACACAAAACCUAUUCACACAAAAAAAACAAUCUCAAAUUCGAAUGCCUUCUCUUAAUGUUGAUCGUUUUUUAACAUCCAAAGGGAAGUUUUGUUAAUCUUUAUACCAUUUACUAAAAGAUAUAUUAUAGGGAAACAAAUCAAAUUGAUUUUAUAAAGUACUUCUGAUACUUUUUAUGUUAUAUAUAAUAGAUAUUGUAAAAUUUAAAAAAAAAAAAUUAUUUUUUUAAUUUUAUCUCAAGAAAAAUGUUUUUUGUUUCUCACACAAAUUUGUAAAUUUUUUCUCUUUGGAAUUAUAGUAUUUGAUGGA